GACGAACGCUGGCGGCGUGCUUAACACAUGCAAGUCGAACGGAAAGGCCCUGCUUUUGUGGGGUGCUCGAGUGGCGAACGGGUGAGUAACACGUGAGUAACCUGCCCUUGACUUUGGCAUAACUUCAGGAAACUGGGGCUAAUACCGGAUAGGAGCUCCUGCUGCAUGGUCGGGGUUGGAAAGUUUCGGCGGUUGGGGAUGGACUCGCGGCUUAUCAGCUUGUUGGUGGGGUAGUGGCUUACCAAGGCUUUGACGGGUAGCCGGCCUGAGAGGGUGACCGGCCACAUUGGGACUGAGAUACGGCCCAGACUCCUACGGGAGGCAGCAGUGGGGAAUAUUGCACAAUGGGCGGAAGCCUGAUGCAGCAACGCCGCGUGCGGGAUGACGGCCUUCGGGUUGUAAACCGCUUUCGCCUGUGACGAAGCGUGAGUGACGGUAAUGGGUAAAGAAGCACCGGCUAACUACGUG
rnacentral:rRNA from 1 species